rnacentral:rRNA from 1 species
ACACCGGCGGCCCGAGUGGUAGCCGUUAUUAUUGGGUUUAAAGGGUCCGUAGCCGGCCUAUUAAGUCUCUUGGGAAAUCUGGCGACUUAAUCGUCAGGCGUCCAAGAGAUACUGACAGGCUUGGGACCGGGAGAGGUGGGAGGUACUCCAGGGGUAGGGGUGAAAUCUCGUAAUCCUUGGGGGACCACCGAUGGCGAAGGCAUCCCACCAGAACGGGUCCGACGGUGAGGGACGAAAGCUGGGGGCACGAACCGGAUUAGAUACCCGGGUAGUCCCAGCUGUAAACGAUGCUCGCUAGGUGUCAGGUGCGGUGCGACCGCAUCUGGUGCCGCAGUGAAAACCUGAAGCGAGUCACCUGGGAAGUACGGUCGCAAGGCUGAA